rnacentral:rRNA from 1 species
AUUGAACGCUGGCGGAAUGCUUUACACAUGCAAGUCGAACGGCAGCACGGACUUCGGUCUGGUGGCGAGUGGCGAACGGGUGAGUAAUGUAUCGGAACGUGCCCAGUCGUGGGGGAUAACGUAGUGAAAAUUACGCUAAUACCGCAUACGAUCUAUGGAUGAAAGCGGGGGAUCGCAAGACCUCGCGCGAUUGGAGCGGCCGAUAUCAGAUUAGGUAGUUGGGGGGGUAAAGGCCCACCAAGCCAACGAUCUGUAGCUGGUCUGAGAGGACGACCAGCCACACUGGAACUGAGACACGGUCCAGACUCCUACGGGAAGCAGCAGUGGGGAAUUUUGGACAAUGGGCGAAAGCCUGAUCCAGCCAUUCCGCGUGCAGGAUGAAGGCCCUCGGGUUGUAAACUGCUUUUGUACAGAACGAAAAGGUUUCUACUAAUACUAGGAGCUCAUGACGGUACUGCAAGAAUAAGCACCGGCUAACUACGUGCCAGCCGCCGCAGUAA